UAUGAUUGUUCACUUUCCCCAUUCUGUAGUCUUCUGGACUUCUCCGUUCUCUCCACCCACUCAGUGACAAUGUUCCUCUUGCCCGAUCCCCUUUCUCCUUUCCUUAUUCUCUUUGCUCACUCAAAAAUUGCUGCUCCUCCCAUCAGCUUGCUCUCUUGUUCGCUGCCUUUAGGUUCCUCGUCCUCACCUCAAGCCACUCCGCAGCUGGUGCUGCCACAGGGACAACAGCUGGUUUGGCUCCUCGUACGCCUCCUCGUUCUCCUAGCCCUUUGCUGGUAAACUACGAUGGAUGAGGCGAGAUCAUCGAUCUGCACAGUGCCGUUGACCCGUUGUAAUUGGUGUCCGUGUAGUUGAUUUGGUCGUGGAUUUCAUCUCCCGUAGGCCGCACCCCUCUUAGAUCCAGCUUGGGUGUGAGGAUGGUGGCGGGGUUCUCUUCCCCAAGCGCGCAAGCAAGAGCGUUGUCGCUCUUUCCACUCGAGGCGGCUCGGGACAUGGUCCUCAUCCUCCACAGCGACAACAUUCUUCGAAGGUCGACCUGCAGACAGUGGUGGACCUAGAGAUCGUGCUUUGCUGUGGCGAUGGACGACGAUAAAUAUCAUGGCGGUGCUCCCGCUGGUCAUUGGACAGGGGAGUACCCUUCUCGGCCGCUUGAGACCUUGACCAGCUGCCCCGCUUGAUGAUCGUACAUACUGGAGGUGAUCUAGUUGCUCAACGGAGCCGGCUGGUGCCCAAUGCCGAAGUGCCACUGGUUGGAGGAAGUUGACCUUAAAGUGUUGUUCAAUGGAGGAAGAUGAUGUACAAGGUUGUUCGGAUGCCGAGAGAUUUUUUAUAUGCAUGCGACCAUGAGAUUUUGGUCCUAUCUAGAGAUAUUCUGUUUGGAGAGAUCAAAUCUCUGCAAAUUUCUGAGAGUUUGGAUUUGUUUGGAGGGAUGGCAUCUUUGUACAGUUUUUUUGUGGGCAGGAUCUUCAGAGUUUGGUCAUGUUUCUUACCCUGUACGCCCUAUUUUUUUAUUACAUGGGAUGGUCUGAUCGCUCGUGGGAUGGUGCA